rnacentral:rRNA from 1 species
GCCACGCCCGCUCAAGAAAUACAAAUGAAUUGACGGGGGCCCGCACAAGCGGCGGAGCAUGUGGAUUAAUUCGAUGCAACGCGAAUAACCUUACCUGGGUUUGACAUACACCGGAAAACCGUAGAGAUACGGUCCCCCUUGUGGUCGGUAUACAGGUGGUGCAUGGCUGUCGUCAGCUCGUGUCGUGAGAUGUUGGGUUAAGUCCCGCAACGAGCGCAACCCUUGUCUUAUGUUGCCAGCACGUAAUGGUGGGGACUCGUAAGAGACUGCCGGGGUCAACUCGGAGGAAGGUGGGGACGACGUCAAGUCAUCAUGCCCCUUAUGUCCAGGGCUUCACACAUGCUACAAUGGCCAGUACAGAGGGCUGCGAGACCGUGAGGUGGAGCGAAUCCCUUAAAGCUGGUCUCAGUUCGGAUCGGGGUCUGCAACUCGACCCCGUGAAGUCGGAGUCGCUAGUAAUCGCAGAUCAGCAACGCUGCGGUGAAUACGUUCCCGGGCCUU